rfam:Nelumbo nucifera unplaced genomic scaffold scaffold00008, whole genome shotgun sequence
GGGGCAAGAGGUUGUCAAGCUAGCCAAGGAGCUUGCCUAUGAAUGGCACAAAACCAGGGCUGGAUUGAAUUCCAAUAUUACAUGAUGAGAGACCCUAAUUAGGAGGACAUAGGCAAGUCAUCCUUGGCUACCAAACAAGACUCUCAUCU